AUGGGACUUUUGCCUUCCUAGCUUUCAUCCCUUUACCUCACUCUCAAACUUAUCCUCCGUCUCUAGCUUUAUGGUCUCGACCGCCCUCUCCACUGUGCGUUUUCAUAACAUACUCUUCAUCUCUUCUAAAUCAAAACUUAGGGAAUUGUUGUUGUGAUGGGAAUAUAUAAAGAAGAUCUAGAAAGAUACGAGGCAGGCCAGCUGGAAUCAGAGAAAAGAGUGAAGACAUGUAUAGCUUGUUUGUGGUCAUUGGUGGUAAUCAUGACAGGAGGAUUGAUGUUAGGGUUUUGGGAGUAUGAAUACCAUCCAACAAAUAGUCAGCUGUGGAUGGUGCCCUUUGGUCUAAUUUUCUUACUUACUCCGGCCAUUAUUUGGUUUGCUGUUAUAUUUUCUGAGUUCUGCAACUCUAAGAACAGACACGUCGUCCCUGCUUCAAGUUCGUCAGGUGACUGACUCAGUUCAUGAUCUGGAGACAGCAUGAGUUACCAUGUGAUAUUACUGCUUCUGUAAGCCUUGUUUCAAAAUCCUAGUGUUACAAUUUCCAAUCGUUCCUUGGUUUUAAUUUGAGAUGUUCUUCAUUAAUUACCGAACUAAAAUGAUUGGAAUGGGCACUUUAAUAGUUUUGAUUA